ensembl:snRNA U5 U5 spliceosomal RNA
AUACUCUGUUUCUUCAGAUCAUAUAAAUCUUUUUGGCUUCUACUAAAGAGUUCCACGAAGAGGAACAAUUCUGAAUCUUAAACCAAUUUUUUUUUGGGGUGGGCCUUGUUUCAGCAAGGCU